rnacentral:tRNA from 1 species
GACCUCGUAGCUCAGUUGGUAGAGCAUUGGAUUAGUAUCGCAAAGGUCGCGGGUUCGAUUCCCACCGUGGUCA